rnacentral:rRNA from 1 species
AUUGAACGCUGGCGGCAUGCCUUACACAUGCAAGUCGAACGGCAGCACGGGGCAACCUGGUGGCGAGUGGCGAACGGGUGCGUAAUGCAUCGGAACGUACCUUUCAGUGGGGGAUAACGUAGCGAAAGUUACGCUAAUACCGCAUAUUCUGUGAGCAGGAAAGCAGGGGAUCGCAAGACCUUGCGCUGAUUGAGCGGCCGAUGUCAGAUUAGCUAGUUGGUGGGGUAAAGGCUCACCAAGGCGACGAUCUGUAGCGGGUCUGAGAGGAUGAUCCGCCACACUGGAACUGAGACACGGUCCAGACUCCUACGGGAGGCAGUAGUGGGGAAUUUUGGACAAUGGGGGCAACCCUGAUCCAGCCAUGCCGCGUGGGUGAAGAAGGCCUUCGGGUUGUAAAGCUCUUUCGGCCGGGAAGAAAUCGCACGGGCUAAUACCCUGUGUGGAUGACGGUACCGGAAUAAGAAGCACCGGCUAACUACGUGCCAGCCGCCGCAGUAAAAC